AACGCUGGCGGCGCGCUUAACACAUGCAAGUCGAGCGAGAACCUGGCCUUCGGGCCAGGGGACAGCGGCGAACGGGUGAGUAACACGUGGGUAAUCUGCCCUCGGCAUCGGGAUAGCCCGGGGAAACCCGGAUUAAUACCGAAUAGCCUCCGGAGCCUUCGGGCGCCGGAGAAAAGGUAGGUUCGGCCUCUGGCCGAGGAUGAGCCCGCGGCGGAUUAGCUUGUUGGCGGGGUAACGGCCCACCAAGGCGACGAUCCGUAGCUGGUCUGAGAGGACGAUCAGCCACACUGGGACUGAGACACGGCCCAGACUCCUACGGGAGGCAGCAGUGGGGAAUCUUGCGCAAAUGCGGGAAACCGUGACGCAGCGACGCCGCGUGGGGGAAGAAGGCCUUCGGGUUGUAAACCUCUUUCAGGAGGGACGAAGCUACUCGGGUGAAUAGCCCAGAGGGUGACGGUACCUCCAGAAGAAGCCCCGGCUAACUUCGUGCCAGCAGCCGCAGUAAGAC
rnacentral:rRNA from 1 species